GCUCGGCUUUCUGUUACAUCAUAGUGUCACUGUGUGCUGUGCCCCACCAGUGGACUGGGUCCAUCUCGGCCGCCUUGGUCAUUACCACAGGGAUUCAUGACGUCCUGCUCAUUGAGUGAAUGGAUAGGUAGAUGAAUGGACACACGGACGGUUCCAUCUGGCACUACUCCUCACAUUUUGUCCAAUGGAGGUGGGCGGACUUCAAGGCCCGUAUUGGAGCAACAGACACCCUGUUCUGUGCAGACAGCUCACAGCCACCUUCUGGGCAGAGUGGCUACUCCCUCCUCUGGGCCCUUGGCACCUUUUCUCACGUCUGAUACAGGCCUGGCUGCAGCAUGUUGGAGCUUGACCUGCCCGUCUCCUUCGGAAUGUACCGCCCUCUUUGUCUCUGUACCUCUGGCCACUAGCUCAGGCCUGGCGCCUCCUACUACAGGCACCUGCUCAACAUAAUGUAUUUGCUUUUGAGGAUAAAGGAAUGAAUGAAUGAAGAUUCAAAGACUCUGCCCUCAAGGGGCUUACAGUUUCCCUGGGCAUAUGAAAUAAAAGCAAUAAGAGAGGGAGGAGAUCGGUUGCUGGCUCCUGUGUCGUCAUCAACUGGGAAGACGGACAGACACCCGCAAUGCCGGGUUUCCCUGAUGCACGUCCGAUCAAUUCCUCUGUCACAGAAACCGGGUCCCAGCACGAAAGAAACCAAGAGCCCAAGAAAGAGGCAUUCCCAGGCUUAGUAGCCUUUGUUAUUAAUUUGUCAUCUACCGGGGAGCCUGGGUGGCUCAGUUGGCUAAGCGUCCGAUGUCGGCUCGGGUCAUGAUUUCGCGGUUCGUGAGUUCGAGCCCUGCGUCGGGCUCUGUGCUGACAGUGAGGAGCCUGCUUGAGAUUCUCUCUCCCUCUCUCUCUGCCUUUCCUCGUCUCCUUUUUUUGAAUCGGCUUUUGAAAAAUAAAAGAAUUCAGAUGAUCUGUUUCUGGGUCUGCUUCCACGGUUGGACAGUAAGCUUUCCAAAGGAUUUUUAUUUUCUUUUUCUAAUCGUGAUUAUGAGCAUCUUGGGACCAGAUUUCUGAGCUUCGCCUCCUGGCUCUACCAUUUGCUGCCCGUGUGACCUCAGUUUCAACGCUGGUAAAUUGGUAACUACUGGGAUCCUAACAGUAUCCGUCGACGGGGCCACGAGCCGAAUUAAACGGGUAGACACUCAGUAAGAGUCCGUCUUAUUACCAUCUCCGUCUUUGUCCCCGGUGUCCAGCCUCAUGCCCCUCACCCACUAGAUCGUCAAUAAAUGUUUGCUGAGUCGGAAACAGAAGCAAAAAUAUUCCUUGGCGUUGAAAAUCAUCGUGACGCUAUCAGACAUAGCUUCGGUAGAUUCCACAGCUGAACACAGACAAUAAAAAUAAAGUCAGUUGUCAAUGAA